GUUCCACUCCGGACAACUUGAGAGAGCAUAGGCCCAUUGAAUUCUCAGUAAAUGAUGCAUAUUGUGCCCCUGCAGAUGAAACAAUCAUAACUGAAGUUCAACCAAUGUUUUGGGAUGUAUCGUGUCUGAGGCCUCGUGUCAGCCACUGUGGAUAAGGAAAAGACAUGCACCCUCAGCAGAAGGCAGAGCAUAAACAAAGGCAAGGAGACACCAGGGAAGAUGCCCUGAUUGAAUUCUAGCAAGGAACAUACUUAACCACUUACUGAGACACUUAGAACUUUGUGUGUUCCUCAAAAUUGCUAACACACUCAUCCCUUUCCAGGUUCUUAAACAAUUUUUCUCUUUUCUUAUUGAUAUCAUUUUGCCUAAUGGUCCUUCUCAGGAACAAAUCCAAGCCGUCCCUCUCCAGGUUCCAGAGGAUACUUUCCCAGCUGAGAUGAAAAUAUUUCCUUCCAGAGAGGAAAUAUUUCCUUUCUUUCCUGAGAGGAAGAAGACCAUUCAAGGUCAACAACAUAUGUGACAGCCCUCAAGAAUGAGAGUAGAGAACAUUCCAGAGCAUCACUGUGACCAUCACAUAUGGUACAUCUGAAAAUUGAGGCCCAAGCAGGAUGUGUUCUUAUAUACCAUGGUAAAAAAGGAAUUAGAAAAACCUCCAGGAGGCUAACGGAUGUGAGGGAAGGAUUUCAGGCAAGUCAAUAAUAUGCUCAAAUUUAAUUGUAAGGAUUCAGUCUAGCAUCACAGAUGAGGGAUGAAUUGAGGAAGAGGCAAGUCUUGCUCCCAGAGACUGCUAAAAGACUUGAAGUAACAGAAGCAACAAGCAAUGAGGUUUUGAGGACAGAAAGUACAUAGGAUACUUUCAAGGAGAAAAAGUUGCCUGGACUUGAUGAUCAGUUGGCUUUUGCUGGGUGGAGAAAAUGCAGAAAUAUAAAAUGCCUCCUAAAUUUCUGAACUAGAUCCCUUGGGCAAUGUGCCUUCUACAAAGAAAGAUGAGAAAGAAC
rnacentral:lncRNA from 1 species